rnacentral:rRNA from 1 species
GACGAACGCUGGCGGCGUGCUUAACACAUGCAAGUCGAACGGAAAGGCCCUGCUUUUGUGGGGUGCUCGAGUGGCGAACGGGUGAGUAACACGUGAGUAACCUGCCCUUGACUUUGGGAUAACUUCAGGAAACUGGGGCUAAUACCGGAUAGGAGCUCCUGCUGCAUGGUGGGGGUUGGAAAGUUUCGGCGGUUGGGGAUGGACUCGCGGCUUAUCAGCUUGUUGGUGGGGUAGUGGCUUACCAAGGCUUUGACGGGUAGCCGGCCUGAGAGGGUGACCGGCCACAUUGGGACUGGGAUACGGCCCAGACUCCUACGGGAGGCAGCAGUGGGGAAUAUUGCACAAUGGGCGGAAGCCGGAUGCAGCAACGCCGCGUGCGGGAUGACGGCUUUCGGGUUGUAAACCGCUUUCGCCUGUGACGAAGCGUGAGUGACGGUAAUGGGUAAAGAAGCACCGGCUAACUACGU